GAUGAACGCUGGCGGCGUGCCUAACACAUGCAAGUCGAACGAAGCAUAUGCAGCGGAGAUUUCGGUCAAAGCAGCAUAUGACUUAGUGGCGGACGGGUGAGUAACGCGUGGGUAACCUGCCUCAUACAGGGGGAUAACAGACAGAAAUGUCUGCUAACACCGCAUGACAUGAGGGUGCCGCAUGGCAUCCCCAUCAAAUAUUUAUAGGUAUGAGAUGGGCCCGCGUCUGAUUAGCUAGUUGGGGGGGUAACGGCCCACCAAGGCGACGAUCAGUAGCCGGCUUGAGAGAGUGACCGGCCACAUUGGGACUGAGACACGGCCCAAACUCCUACGGGAGGCAGCAGUGGGGGAUAUUGCACAAUGGGGGGAACCCUGAUGCAGCGACGCCGCGUGAGUGAAGAAGUAUCUCGGUAUGUAAAGCUCUAUCAGCAGGGAAGAUAAUGACAGUACCUGACUAAGAAGCCCCGGCUAACUACGUGCCAGCCGCCGCAGUAAAAC
rnacentral:rRNA from 1 species